CAAAAUUUGAGGCCUAGUGCUUCCAGUAGAAAUCAUUUAUUAAAAUUGAAAAAGUGUGACACACUGAGAUUCACAUUUAUUAUAUUAGAUGUGUUUAAUUUAGGGGAAACUUUAUUUCUAUUAAAGUGUAUUAUAUAUAUUUAUGUGUGUGUGUGUGUGUGUGUGC